GACGAACGCUGGCGGCGUGCUUAACACAUGCAAGUCGAACGGAAAGGCCCUGCUUUUGUGGGGUGCUCGAGUGGCGAACGGGUGAGUAACACGUGAGUAACCUGCCCUUGACUUUGGGAUAACUUCAGGAAACUGGGGCUAAUACCGGAUAGGAGCUCCUGCUGCAUGGUGGGGGUUGGAAAGUUUCGGCGGUUGGGGAUGGACUCGCGGCUUAUCAGCUUGUUGGUGGGGUAGUGGCUUACCAAGGCUUUGACGGGUAGCCGGCCUGAGAGGGUGACCGGCCACAUUGGGACUGAGAUACGGCCCAGACUCCUACGGGAGGCAGCAGUGGGGAAUAUUGCACAAUGGGCGGAAGCCUGAUGCAGCAACGCCGCGUGCGGGAUGACGGCCUUCGGGUUGUAAACCGCUUUCGCCUGUGACGAAGCGUGAGUGACGGUAAUGGGUAAAGAAGCACCGGCUAACUACGUGCCAGCAGCCGCGGUGAUACGUAGGGUGCGAGCGUUGUCCGGAUUUAUUGGGCGUAAAGGGCUCGUAGGUGGUUGAUCGCGUCGGAAGUGUAAUCUUGGGGCUUAACCCUGAGCGUGCUUUCGAUACGGGUUGACUUGAGGAAGGUAGGGGAGAAUGGAAUUCCUGGUGGAGCGGUGGAAUGCGCAGAUAUCAGGAGGAACACCAGUGGCGAAGGCGGUUCUCUGGGCCUUUCCUGACGCUGAGGAGCGAAAGCGUGGGGAGCGAACAGGCUUAGAUACCCUGGUAGUCCACGCUGUAAACGGUGGGUACUAGGUGUGGGAUCCAUUCCACGGGUUCCGUGCCGUAGCUAACGCUUUAAGUACCCCGCCUGGGGAGUACGGCCGCAAGGCUAAAACUCAAAGGAAUUGACGGGGCCCCGCACAAGCGGCGGAGCAUGCGGAUUAAUUCGAUGCAACGCGUAGAACCUUACCUGGGUUUGACAUGGAUCGGGAGUGCUCAGAGAUGGGUGUGCCUCUUUUGGGGUCGGUUCACAGGUGGUGCAUGGCUGUCGUCAGCUCGUGUCGUGAGAUGUUGGGUUAAGUCCCGCAACGAGCGCAACCCUUGUUCACUGUUGCCAGCACGUUAUGGUGGGGACUCAGUGGAGACCGCCGGGGUCAACUCGGAGGAAGGUGGGGAUGACGUCAAGUCAUCAUGCCCCUUAUGUCCAGGGCUUCACGCAUGCUACAAUGGCUGGUACAGAGAGUGGCGAGCCUGUGAGGGUGAGCGAAUCUCGGAAAGCCGGUCUCAGUUCGGAUCGGGGUCUGCAACUCGACCUCAUGAAGUCGGAGUCGCUAGUAAUCGCAGAUCAGCAACGCUGCGGUGAAUACGUUCCCGGG
rnacentral:rRNA from 1 species